CAGCAUCAGUGUGUGGUAAUACACAUCAAGUAUGGUCAACCCAGGAAGCUCACUUCAACUUCAGUGUUGAGAGUUUGUAUUAGGGCUUUAUUACGCCAAGUUGUCAACUGCAGAGCUCUCAGUCCUGUCCUAGAAGGGUCACAAUGCAAUUCUUCAAAGAAAGAAAAACUCCAAAGGGUACCCUCAGGAGCAUCUGAAGCACAGUGGUAGGAUAAUUUAUUAUUCCAACAAGUAAAAGUUUUCUGUUGUCUGGAUUGAUUGCCUACUCUGUACCCACUAACAGAAAGCACCCUCUCUGCCUUCUUCUGGGACAUCAGCAUACAGACACAGAGAGAGAGGCAGAGACACAAGCAGAGGGAGAAGCAGACUCCAUGUGGGGAGCC